UUUAAGGUGAUAGGAAAUAUAAAUAACUGCAACUUGAAUCUUUGACACAGAGUUCAUGCUUCAGAGUUCAGAUGUUCAGAGUUCAUGGACCGUUGAGGCUGCGAACUUUAAGGCUGCAGACCCUGAAUUGGGAUACAGCCAUCGACUGUGGAAACCUUGCAAGUGGAUCGUAAAGAUGCAAAUAUCAAAUUGGAGUUCUGCCUCCAGGCCAGAAUUGCAGGAAUGCACCACGUGUUGGCUGUUUCACUGCCCUCUGUGCCCCACUCUCAGCCCUGCUGUCAGGGCAAAGAUUGAGCAGCAUAUAAAUGGACACAUUCAAAGUGCUUUGCCUUUCAAAGACAAAAUGAUGUGCCGGUGCACUUUCACUGCCCUUCUGUAACAUGACAGUCAUACAGCGUGGGGAUAUGGCAAGGCAAUUAUUGUCAUGUCAGCAUUCAGGACUGCUCCCCACUGAACUCUCCGUGGAGCCUCGUCUCCCUCUCCAUGUCUCGUCUCCAGCAUCUAAACCAUUUCCUGAAUCUUGGGUAGAACAUUCAUGUGCUCCACCCUCUGUGCUAAAUGAAACUGGGGCUUGUGGAAAGUCCAUGAAAAUGAAACGUCCUCACUGUGGUCUUAGUCUUCUUACAAAAAAACUUCAAGGCUCACAUGAUGAGGAGGCAUUCAAACAGGUCAAUAGAUGUUUGCCUGGCCUGUCAUCCACAGUGUUUUUGUGUAGAGGGACUUCUUCCUCUUUGUUUUUCAGUUUGCAGAGGACAUGGAGCUCUUUUUAAAAGCAUGUGCUGACGAGCAGAGACUACAGGUCAAAGCGAUGUUUGACAUUUAAUGGACAGAUGAAGGCACUGGCUGUUUGUUUGUGUUUUUUAUCUGUUGUUUGUUUUUCAGUGUACAGAAUUCCAGUUAA